GCGACUCUCAGCUGCUUCUCCAGAGAGUCGAUGGCCGACAUCUGAGUCCUGACCACAGACUGAGAGAGACUCACUGUUUAACAACCAUCUGCCUUUCUCUCUUCAAUUCCUUUAAACAUCCACAAGGUAAUACGACAUGAGCGCUACCUGCAGCCUGUUCUUCUCCUGCUUCAUGUCCUCCAGCUCUCCUCUCUGCUGAGACUCCAGCAUCUGAACUUUACUCUCCAGACGACUGAAAGACACGAGGAGCAAAGAAAACAGGGUUUAAACACUUCAUUCACGUGACUGAGCCGUUUUCUCCAUGAAUCUCAGAAACAGAAACUCUGCGUGUUUAUUUUUGUAACCAUGACAACCACGGUCCGGUACACCUGCUGCCACGGGGGCGGUAUCUCAGGAGACGCUCCUGAGGGUCGUAUCAGAGCGUCGCAACAAACCACCGACUGUUCCAGUUGGACGCACUUCUCGUCUUCUUCUUGGGAUAAACAUCAGCGGUGAAAUGAUUUUUGAUUUCGCUGUCAGUCCUCCAGAGACACAGAAAUGUUUUUCUGCAGCAGCAAGUCUGACACUGUGUCCAGAACAUUCACACUUUCUCUCUCUGACCCUGUAAAACUUCAACUCUUCACCUACAUACAAACAUGCAGCACUGACACUUUUGUAUUAACUAGAUGAAGGCAUUCUGGGAAAUGUAGGAGAUCCAUAAAUUUCACAGAGGAGGGGGAGGAGGAAGAGGAGGAGGAGGAGGAGGAGGAGGAGGAGGCAGGUUGAGGGAGAGUAGGAACACCACAGAGUAAAUGAGUGUAUGUCAUCACCACAUAACUCCUGGAAUGCUUCAUAUAAAUACUGGACUGUUGAACAUGGAGGUUGUGUGUAUUGUCAGAGGGAGGACGCAAAUCCAAACUAUUUGUACAACAAAUCUGUCUGUAACGGAGCAGAGGCUGUAACUCCUGAGUUACUCCCUCUCGUCAGUGAAGCCGUAAAAGCGGCGGAAUAAAGAUUAAUAACCCGAG